rnacentral:rRNA from 1 species
GAUGAACGCUGGCGGCGUGCCUAAUACAUGCAAGUCGAGCGAACAGACGAGGAGCUUGCUCCUCUGACGUUAGCGGCGGACGGGUGAGUAACACGUGGAUAACCUACCUAUAAGACUGGGAUAACUUCGGGAAACCGGAGCUAAUACCGGAUAACAUGUUGAACCGCAUGGUUCAACAGUGAAAGACGGUCUUGCUGUCACUUAUAGAUGGAUCCGCGCCGCAUUAGCUAGUUGGUAAGGUAACGGCUUACCAAGGCAACGAUGCGUAGCCGAACUGAGAGAGUGAUCGGCCACACUGGAAGUGGACCACGGUCCAGACUCCUACGGGAGGCAGCAGUAGGGAAUCUUCCGCAGUGGGCGAAAGCAUGACGGAGCAACGCCGCGUGAGUGAAGAAGGUCUUCGGAUCGUAAAACUCUGUUAUUAGGGAAGAACAAAUGUGUAAGUAACUAUGCACGUCUUGACGGUACCUAAUCAGAAAGCCACGGCUAACUACGUG